CUGGUGCAGCCCUGUGCUUGCUGCUUCAGUCUCUGUGAGCUCAUAUGAGCUUUGCUCAAUGGAAUGUGAGGGCCUCCCUCUCCUGGUGUCCCCCAUCCCUUCUGGCUCUUACAGUCUUUCUCCCUCCUUUUCCAUAGGGUUCCUGAGGGAGGGAUUGGUGAUGACAUGCCAGUUAGGGCUGAGUCUUUGCUCUCAUCUGCUGCAGGAGGAAGCUUCUCUGAUGAUGACUGAAUUCGGCACUGAUCUGAGUAUAGCUGAUAUCACUAGACGUUAUCUUUAUUGUUAUUUCUUUUUAAGACCAGUAGGAUUUGGUUUUACCUUAGACAAAGAUAGUUUAUUUUUAAGGUCUCAAAAUGAGGUUGUUUUUGAAAAAGCAAGCCUUCCUUGUGGUUAGAUUAUGUCUUUAAAUUAUUUAAUCCCUUUCUUGGACUUCUUUCACUUGGACAGGCCAGGGAAGUGAUCCUGCUGUGUGAGUUCUGUUUGAGCAUCCUUUACUCUGUCCUCUUUUGCUAUCAGCUGAAGGAGAUCCAGACUUAGCAGCAUCUGUGUGCCAGGGGAUGACAGUAACUCAGUGUGGAAUGAAUCAACAGCUGAAAGAGAUUUUGUUAUGCCCAGCUGGCAUCAACAUGUCUGGUGGACUGGCCUCCCCAGAAAGCAAAGGCUCAGGGAUACGUGUGUAUUAGUUAUGAUUCUAUGGCUGUGAUAAAAUACCAUGGCCAAAAGCAACGUAGAGUAGAAUAUUUAUUUCGUCUUGAGGGUCUAAAGAGUUAGAGGCUGUAAUGGCCAGGGGAGCAUGGCAGCAGGCAGCGGGCAGGAGCAGAAAGCUGAGAAAUGUCAUGUAGCUAGUGCAUAGGAAGCAGAGGUGAACAGGAUGAGGGCCAAGGAUGUGGGGAACCCUUAAAGGUCCCUGACUGUGACUGCUCCCUCCAGCAAGGCUCCACCUCCCAAAGGCUCCAGAACCCUCGCAAACAGCGCCACCUCAUAGGGAACAAAGUGUUUCAGUUCUUAGCCUAAAGGGGAAGGGCUCGUUGCUUCCAAAUCAGCACAAACUUCAGCAAAUUAAACCAGAUGAGAACAGACCUGCACCUAUUCAUUAUCUGCAUGCUUCCCUAGGCCAAGCAUUCACAGUUACCAUGCCAACCACACUGUGUGGUAGACACCAUUGCUGUCUCCACUUCAGAGAUGCUGAGACAGGGCAGAUGUAACGGGGCCCCUGUGAUUCCUAUCCAGGGGAGACAGACCCACCCUUGACCGUGUCAUAUGUGAUGCCUUGUGGUGGUUUCCAAAAGUUUUAACACAUAAAAUUUAUGUGCAUUGUUUUACUCUGGGCUUGUUCAUGUUUCAUUGUGAAGCCAUAUGAACUUUACCCCCGAGGGAAUCAAAUAGGAUUUUUCCCCCUUAAAUUAUCAAAUUCUGUACUCUUUUAAUAUUUAAUUAUCAAGUUUAAACCCUUUUACUAUUUAAGCAUGUGAACAUGGAUGUGCCACUUGACGAAAUAGUUGAAAUGCCUUUGAAUGUUUUCUGCUAAGUAUUUGCUGCUACUUUAGUGACUUUUGGAGUUGUUAUAGGAAAUCCAUCCAUUUGGAAAGGAUAAAAAAAAAACCCUUAAAGACAUUUUCUUUUUAGAUUGCUGCAAAACUUUACUUUUUCCAAUGAUGGAAAAUUACAUUCUUUCUACAAAUGAACAUUUAUAAUGUGAAUAUUCUCCUAAAACAACCUCUUUUUUUUUGGAUCUGGAAUAUUGUUAAAUUAAAAACAUAUCAGCUUUAAAAAACAUAAAGGCUGAUUGCAGAUUUAUUAAGGUAUAAUUUAUGUGCCAUACAAUUUAUGCCUUGUAGUUGUCUUAGACAAUGGCCUUAAUAAAUUCACAGUCAUGCUCUCAGCAGCCGUGAGAUUCAGACAAAGACCUAGAUCCCUGUUCUCACCUGCAGAAACCCCAGGAGUUCUCUGGAAGGAACUCUUGACUUUGCUGCAGAAAAGAAUUUCAGGGAAGCAAGUAUAAUACAUCGUAAAAGUGUGUAAAGAGGAGAUUUUAGCAUGCAUAAAAUGUAGAGAGACUCAGGGGAGAUGAGGCAUGCCCUUGUGUGGGUCUGGGCUUCUCCGGGAGUCAUAUUAAAAGGACUUAACAGAAUCUGCAAAUGAGAUUUUGAAGGUUUGGGACUUAUAUUGUUGAAAGGAUGAGUUCGAGGCCAGCCUGGUCUAUAGAGUGAGUUAGAGGACAGCGGACAGCCAGGGCUACACAGAGAAACCCUGUCUCAAAAAAGAAAGGA
rnacentral:lncRNA from 1 species